rnacentral:rRNA from 1 species
UACGUAGGGUGCAAGCGUUAAUCGGAAUUACUGGGCGUAAAGCGUGCGCAGGCGGUGAUGUAAGACAGGUGUGAAAUCCCCGGGCUUAACCUGGGAACUGCAUUUGUGACUGGCGAGCUAGAGUAUGGCAGAGGGGGGUAGAAUUCCACGUGUAGCAGUGAAAUGCGUAGAGAUGUGGAGGAAUACCGAUGGCGAAGGCAGCCCCCUGGGCCAAUACUGACGCUCAUGCACGAAAGCGUGGGGAGCAAACAGG